rnacentral:lncRNA from 1 species
AAUGAAGUUUGGGUUUAACUCGAGCUCGGAUGAAAAUGACUUAUCUCCUACUAGCUGUGGAAGUUAAGUUCUUCCAGUUUUAUUAUUUAUUUGGUAAAAAAUGAAUGUUGUAAAAAGUGAAGAUUCCUACUUUUUAUAUUCGUUUCACGGAAAACUGUUGAAUCUUCACACUACUGGUAUAAACUUACCUCCGGUAUAUAGUUCUCGGCCAUGGAUGGUUUUCUUAGGCUGUCUAGUUCCUUGGAAAAGAAUGGAAAAAAAAAUUUCGAAGAAAAUUUUUUUCAUAGAAAAUCUCUAUUUCAGUUUUCUGCCAGUUUGGUUCAAAAAAAAAUUGAAAAUAUUCUUUCCAAAUUUUAUGGAUCAACAAUAUUUUCUUUUCCUAAAAAAGAAAAUCUGAAAAACGAAACUAUUAAUUUGUCAUAAAUUUUGAAAAAUAAAUUUUCAAAAGAACUAAUUUUCUUUGAAAAUAAACAGACAAAAAACUAAAAAGAAAAUUCAUAAAAUACAUUUUUCUUAUUAAGAAACUAUUUUCUACACUUUUCUGGCCAACCAAACACCCUUUAGUCAUACAUUGGUGUAUUUAUGGUUUUACAACCUUUAAUACUAUAGUGAAUAAGAUAAACACUAGAAACAAGUUCUUCAACCAUAUAAUAU